rnacentral:rRNA from 1 species
UACGGAGGGGACUAGCGUUGUUCGGAAUUACUGGGCGUAAAGCGCACGUAGGCGGAUUUGUAAGUCAGGGGUGAAAUCCCGGGGCUCAACCUCGGAACUGCCUUUGAUACUGCAAAUCUCGAGUCCGGAAGAGGUGAGUGGAAUUCCUAGUGUAGAGGUGAAAUUCGUAGAUAUUAGGAAGAACACCAGCGGCGAAGGCGGCUCACUGGUCCGGUACUGACGCUGAGGUGCGAAAGCGUGGGGAGCAAACAGG